GACGAACGCUGGCGGCGUGCUUAACACAUGCAAGUCGAACGGAAAGGCCCUGCUUUUGUGGGGUGCUCGAGUGGCGAACGGGUGAGAACACGUGAGUAACCUGCCCUUGACUUUGGGAUAACUUCAGGAAACUGGGGCUAAUACCGGAUAGGAGCUCCUGCUGCAUGGUGGGGGUUGGAAAGUUUCGGCGGUUGGGGAUGGACUCGCGGCUUAUCAGCUUGUUGGUGGGGUAGUGGCUUACCAAGGCUUUGACGGGUAGCCGGCCUGAGAGGGUGACCGGCCACAUUGGGACUGAGAUACGGCCCAGACUCCUACGGGAGGCAGCAGUGGGGAAUAUUGCACAAUGGGCGGAAGCCUGAUGCAGCAACGCCGCGUGCGGGAUGACGGCCUUCGGGUUGUAAACCGCUUUCGCCUGUGACGAAGCGUGAGUGACGGUAAUGGGUAAAGAAGCACCGGCUAACUACGUG
rnacentral:rRNA from 1 species